UCUUGGCUAAGGUGUCUUGGCUAAUGUGUCUUGGCUAAUGUGUCUUGGCUAAUGUGGCUUUUCUAAUGUGUCUUGGGUAAUGUGUCUCGGCUAAUGUGUCUUGGCUAAGGUGUCUUGGCUAAUGUGUCUUGGCUAAGGUGUCUUGGCUAAUGUGUUUUGGCUAAGGUGUCUUGGCUAAUGUGUCUUGGCUAAUGUGUCUUGGCUAAUGUGUUUCGGCUAAGGUGUCUUGGCUAAUGUGUCUUGGGUAAUGUGUCUCGGCUAAUGUGUCUUGGCUAAGGUGUCUUGGCUAAGGUGUCUCGGCUAAUGUGUCUUGGCUAAUGUGUCUUGGGUAAUGUGUCUCGGCUAAUGUGUCUUGACUAAUGUGUCUUGACUAAGGUGUCUUGGCUAAUGUGUCUUGGCUAAGGUGUCUUGGCUAAUGCGUCUUGGCUAAGGUGUCUUGGCUAAGUUGUCUUGGCUAAGGUGUCUUGGCUAAUGUGUCUUGGCUAAUGUGUCUU